rnacentral:rRNA from 1 species
UGGGGAAUAUUGCACAAUGGGCGCAAGCCUGAUGCAGCGACGCCGCGUGGGGGAUGACGGCCUUCGGGUUGUAAACUCCUUUCGCUGGGGACGAAGCUUUUUGUGACGGUACCUAGAUAAGAAGCACCGGCUAACUACGUGCCAGCAGCCGCGGUAAUACGUAGGGUGCGAGCGUUGUCCGGAAUUACUGGGCGUAAAGGGCUCGUAGGUGGUUUGUCGCGUCGUCUGUGAAAUUCCGGGGCUUAACUCCGGGCGUGCAGGCGAUACGGGCAUAACUUGAGUACUGUAGGGGUAACUGGAAUUCCUGGUGUAGCGGUGAAAUGCGCAGAUAUCAGGAGGAACACCGAUGGCGACGGCAGGUUACUGGGCAGUUACUGACGCUGAGGAGCGAAAGCAUGGGUAGCGAACAGG